GAUGAACGCUGGCGGCGUGCCUAAUACAUGCAAGUCGAGCGAACAGACGAGGAGCUUGCUCCUUUGACGUUAGCGGCGGACGGGUGAGUAACACGUGGGUAACCUACCUAUAAGACUGGGAUAACUUCGGGAAACCGGAGCUAAUACCGGAUAAUAUUUCGAACCGCAUGGUUCGAUAGUGAAAGAUGGCUUUGCUAUCACUUAUAGAUGGACCUGCGCCGUAUUAGCUAGUUGGUAAGGUAACGGCUUACCAAGGCAACGAUACGUAGCCGACCUGAGAGGGUGAUCGGCCACACUGGAACUGAGACACGGUCCAGACUCCUACGGGAGGCAGCAGUAGGGAAUCUUCCGCAAUGGGCGAAAGCCUGACGGAGCAACGCCGCGUGAGUGAUGAAGGUCUUCGGAUCGUAAAACUCUGUUAUUAGGGAAGAACAAACGUGUAAGUAACUGUGCACGUCUUGACGGUACCUAAUCAGAAAACCACGGCUAACUACGU
rnacentral:rRNA from 1 species